AGGACUGCUCCCUCUCACAAUGAGGUGCCCUGCUCAGCUCCUGGGGCUGUUCAUGCUCUGGAUCCCAGGAUCCAGUGGGGAUGCUAUUUUGACCCAGACUCCACUCUCCCUGCCUGUCACCCUGGGCGAGCCGGCCUCCAUCUCCUGCAGGUCUAGUCAGAGCCUCCUGCAUAGCAAUGGAAACACAUAUCUGGCUUGGUACCUGCAGAAGCCAGGCCAGUCUCCACAACUCCUGAUCUACUUGGUUUCUAAGCGAGCAUCUGGGGUCCCAGAUAGGUUCAGUAGCAGUGGGUCAGGCACGGAUUUCACACUGACCAUCAGUAGGGUGGAGGCUGAGGAUGUUGGGGUUUAUUACUGCUUUCAGCAUACACAUUUUCCUCCCACAGUGAUUCAGCCCUGAACAAAAACCUCCCUGCUUGAGGUGGCACAGCUGUUAUAUGUAGCUGGUUUGGGGAGCAGCACAAUGACUUUUCUGAGUGAAUGUGAGAGCAAGGACCUUAUGAUGUCAGCUCAAUAUGUUUC